rnacentral:rRNA from 1 species
GACAGAGGAUGCAAGCGUUAUCCGGAAUGAUUGGGCGUAAAGCGUCUGUAGGUGGCUUUUUAAGUUCGCCGUCAAAUCCCAGGGCUCAACCCUGGACAGGCGGUGGAAACUACCAAGCUGGAGUUCGGGAGAGGAGCGUGGAAUUCCCAGUGUAGAGGUGAAAUUCGUAGAUAUUGGGAAGAACACCGGUGGCGAAGGCGGCGCUCUGGACCGAGACUGACGCUGAGGCGCGAAAGCGUGGGGAGCAAACAGG